UACGAAGGGGGCUAGCGUUGUUCGGAAUUACUGGGCGUAAAGCGCACGUAGGCGGGCGAUUAAGUCAGGGGUGAAAUCCUGGAGCUCAACUCCAGAACUGCCUUUGAUACUGGCGACCUUGAGUCCGGGAGAGGUGAGUGGAACUGCGAGUGUAGAGGUGAAAUUCGUAGAUAUUCGCAAGAACACCAGUGGCGAAGGCGGCUCACUGGCCCGGUACUGACGCUGAGGUGCGAAAGCGUGGGGAGCAAACAGG
rnacentral:rRNA from 1 species